rnacentral:rRNA from 1 species
ACUCCUGCGGGAGGCAGCAGUGGGGAAUUUUGGACAAUGGGCGAAAGCCUGAUCCAGCCAUGCCGCGUGCAGGAUGAAGGCCUUCGGGUUGUAAACUGCUUUUGUACGGAACGAAACGGCCUUUUCUAAUAAAGAGGGCUAAUGACGGUACCGUAAGAAUAAGCACCGGCUAACUACGUGCCAGCAGCCGCGGUAAUACGUAGGGUGCAAGCGUUAAUCGGAAUUACUGGGCGUAAAGCGUGCGCAGGCGGUUAUGUAAGACAGUUGUGAAAUCCCCGGGCUCAACCUGGGAACUGCAUCUGUGACUGCAUAGCUAGAGUACGGUAGAGGGGGAUGGAAUUCCGCGUGUAGCAGUGAAAUGCGUAGAUAUGCGGAGGAACACCGAUGGCGAAGGCAAUCCCCUGGACCUGUACUGACGCUCAUGCACGAAAGCGUGGGGAGCAAACAGGAUUAGAAACCCGAGUAGUCCCA